rnacentral:sRNA from 1 species
GCCGGGUACAGUGGUGCAUGCCUGUAAUCCCAGCAGCUCAGGAGGCUGAGGCAGGAGGAUCAAGAGUUCAAAGCCAGCCUCAGCAACUUAGCAAGGCCCUAAGCAACUCAGUGAGACCCUGUCUCUA